rnacentral:rRNA from 1 species
CCUACGGGUGGCAGCAGUGAGGAAUAUUGGUCAAUGGACGAGAGUCUGAACCAGCCAAGUAGCGUGAAGGAUGACUGCCCUAUGGGUUGUAAACUUCUUUUAUAAAGGAAUAAAACGAGGCACGUGUGCCUUUUUGCAUGUACUUUAUGAAUAAGGAUCGGCUAACUCCGUGCCAGCAGCCGCGGUAAUACGGAGGAUCCGAGCGUUAUCCGGAUUUAUUGGGUUUAAAGGGAGCGUAGAUGGGUUGUUAAGUCAGUUGUGAAAGUUUGCGGCUCAACCGUAAAAUUGCAAUUGAUACUGGCAGUCGUGAGUACAGUUGAGGUAGGCGGAAUUCGUGGUGUAGCGGUGAAAUGCUUAGAUAUCACGAAGAACCCCGAUUGCGAAGGCAGCUUACUAAACUGUGACUGACAUUGAUGCUCGAAAGUGUGGGUAUCAAACAGGAUUAGAUACCCUAGUAGU